rnacentral:lncRNA from 1 species
CAGUGCCUGGCCCAUAGCAUGCUUUCAAAGCCCAGCUGCUGCUGUGGCAGGUGUUAAGUGGGAAAGUGAGUGGAAAAUGUAUUUGGGAUGGAAGUUCCCCCUUGUCAUCCUGUCCUGAUGGUUUAGACCAGAAAAUGAUAUCCAUUUUUUUUUUGUCCUAGGGAUUGAAUCCAGGGGUGUUUAACUCUGAGCCAUGUCCCCAGCCUUUUUUAAUAUUUUAUUUAGCGACAGGGUCUCACUGAGUUGCGAAGUGCCUUACUAAUCUGUUGAGGCUGGCUUUGAACUCGUGAUCCUCCUGCCUCAGCCUCCCGAGUUGCUGGGAUUAUAGGCGUGUGCCACCGCACCUGGCUUUCAUUUUUUUUUAAUAUCUAUUUUUUUAAUUGUAGGUGGACACAAUAUCUUUAUUUUGUUUUUAUGUGGUGCUGAGGAUCGAAUCCAGUGCCUCACGCAUACUAGGCGAGCACUCUACCACUGAGCCACAGUCCCAGCCCUACUUUUUUUAAAAAACUGGUAUUUUCAUUGGAUAAAAGACUGGUGAUGGUUGGCAAAUAUACAACAGAGUAAGUUUUUCAAGUGACUUUAGAAAACAUCUGGUUUAAUGUCCUUUAUUUUAGAGGUGGAAACUGAGGCCUGGGGAGGGAAAAUGAUUUCUUAGGCUCCCAGAGUGAGUCCCUAUUCAAGCUGGGAGGUAAGUUCCUCUACACAGGAGACUUCAACACUUCUCCAGAUUAAUUUCUCUGUGUGACUGUGACCUAAUUAUAGGCUUGAAAGUCAAAGGACAUAGAUUGCCUUUGGAAAAAACAACUACUACUCAAGUUGGCAAGCUUGGUACUAAGGCACCUAGAUUCACUGCUCAGGAGGGACAGCAGCCUUCAGUUUAACAAUCAGGCUUCAGAGCCAUGUAGCUAGUUAAUCAGGACCCAGGAUUGAGGUUCUCACCUUGAAUUCUGUCUCUGCCAUGGAUGCCUGAGCUGCAGGCAAUGUGCAUUUCCGGAUCAUUAGAAUCAUGGUGAUGACAUUGCAGGAACAAGAGAGCCUUUCUGCCCAGUUCCCAGGGAGGGAAAGUGACACCCAGAAAAAUAUUUGCCUCUUGGUUAACUAGUGCUGGAUUGAAAACCAGACCCAAAUUGCUGACUUCCCAACGAGGAAUCUACCAGAGACACUAUUCUAGUAGGACUCCCAUGGAUGACUUUCUUUCCCAAUAGGAAAGUUUUUAAUAAUAUUUCAGAAAAUUCCUCGACUCUGGCCCUUAGAAAUAUAGACUCUGUAGACACAGGAAAGGGGAUCCACCCAGAUUUGAGGACUCCAAUAC